rnacentral:rRNA from 1 species
UACGUAGGGGGGCAAGCGUUGUCCGGAAUCAUUGGGCGUAAAGAGCGUGUAGGCGGUCCGGUAAGUCCGCUGUGAAAGUCGGGGGGCUCAACCCUCGAAUGCCGGUGGAUACUGUCGGGCUAGAGUGCGGAAGAGGCGAGUGGAAUUCCUGGUGUAGCGGUGAAAAUGCGUAGAGAUUUUGGAGGAAACACCAGUGGCGAAAGGGCG